AGUUUGGGGGCUGGAGAGAUGGCU
rnacentral:piRNA from 1 species